rnacentral:rRNA from 1 species
GACGAACGCUGGCGGCGUGCUUAACACAUGCAAGUCGAACGAAGAGCGAUGGAAGCUUGCUUCUAUCAAUCUUAGUGGCGAACGGGUGAGUAACGCGUAAUCAACCUGCCCUUCAGAGGGGGACAACAGUUGGAAACGACUGCUAAUACCGCAUACGAUCUAAUCUCGGCAUCGAGGAUAGAUGAAAGGUGGCCUCUACAUGUAAGCUAUCACUGAAGGAGGGGAUUGCGUCUGAUUAGCUAGUUGGAGGGGUAACGGCCCACCAAGGCGAUGAUCAGUAGCCGGUCUGAGAGGAUGAACGGCCACAUUGGGACUGAGACACGGCCCAGACUCCUACGGGAGGCAGCAGUGGGGAAUCUUCCGCAAUGGACGAAAGUCUGACGGAGCAACGCCGCGGGAGUGAUGACGGCCUUCGGGUUGUAAAGCUCUGUUAAUCGGGACGAAAGGCCUUCUUGCGAAUAGGGAGAAGGAUUGACGGUACCGGAAUAGAAAGCCACGGCUAACUACGUG